GACGAACGCUGGCGGCGUGCCUAACACAUGCAAGUCGAGCGGAAGGGCGCGGAGCUUGCGGGUUUGAUGUGAGCGGAGGGCGGGAGUGUAACACGUGUAAAACCCACUUAUCAGAGGGGUAAAACUUGGGAAAACGGGCGCUAAUAGCGGAGGAUAUUUUGAAGCAUGGGGGGGAUAGGUAAGUUACGGUCGUGGUGUCUGUUCUAGAUGCAUCCGAGCUGCAUUAGCUAGUUGUGAAGGUAACGGCUUACCAAGGCAACCAUGCAUGGCCGAGGGGAGGGGGUGAUCGGCCACACUGGAACUGAGCCACGCUCCAUGCUCCUACGGGAGGCCGCAGUAGGGAAUCUUCCGCAAUGGUCGAAAGCCUGACGGAGCAACGCCGCGUGAGUUAUGACGGUCCUCCGAUCGUAAAACUCUGUUAUUAGGUAAGAACAUCUUUGUAAGUAACUGUGCACAUCUUGACGGUACCUAAUCAGAAAGCCCCGGCUAACUACGUG
rnacentral:rRNA from 1 species